ACACACCAACGGACCGUAUAAAAACGGCUCUCCCACAGUCGGUUACUCCACAAGCAUCCAAUACUCACUCAUCAGAUCCACUAGGAAAGCAGACCUACCUUUCCUGCUCUAAAAUGGCUCAGGUGAUGGACAGCCUCCCGUUGGACGAGUUGCAUCAUCCAGAAGAUGAGAGCCUCUCCACCUUUGACUCCUUCUAUCAACUCCCUGGCUUGCGAUAUCCCCGUGGUUAUGUACUAAGGUGGUGGGGCCCCUUCAAUAUCCGAGGGUGUGGCUACUGCUAUAUCCCAGUUUGUUGCCGCCGCCGCUCGUAUCCCUAAGCUGGUUGCCAGCCAUGUUAACCACAGGCACAACUUUGACAGAACAUCCAGGAAAGAAGACAAACGAUUCUGACCCUCGACACAACAUUCGGAAGUGCUGAGCGCUCCACAGACCCCACUGCACAACCAAUGGGAUUUGUGAGGGCUCAGCAUGUCUGUUAAUUCAUGUGCUGCUUUAACUUUAUUGUUUUGGCUUCCUGAUGUUUGCGUGCGUGCUUCUUUUUUGGAACAGGCACCUUUUCUGAAGUCACUCUCGUCGCCUUGUAAUUGAGCCAUCUGUGAUGCACUCUAAACCUCUGUCUCCCUUUGUUUUCUCAUUAAAGUGUUCAGCAUGUCAUAGAA